ACGAACGCUGGCGGCGUGCUUAACACAUGCAAGUCGAACGGAAAGGCCCCUUUGGGGGUACUCGAGUGGCGAACGGGUGAGUAACACGUGAGUAACCUGCCCUUGACUUCGGGAUAACUUCAGGAAACUGGGGCUAAUACCGGAUAGGAAUCCUUGCUGCAUGGUGGGGGUUGGAAAGCUUCGGCGGUUUUGGAUGGACUCGCGGCUUAUCAGCUUGUUGGUGGGGUAGUGGCUUACCAAGGCUUUGACGGGUAGCCGGCCUGAGAGGGCGACCGGCCACAUUGGGACUGAGAUACGGCCCAGACUCCUACGGGAGGCAGCAGUGGGGAAUAUUGCACAAUGGGCGGAAGCCUGAUGCAGCAACGCCGCGUGCGGGAUGACGGCCUUCGGGUUGUAAACCGCUUUCAGCAGGGGCGAAGCUUGUGGUGACAGUACCUGCAGAAGAAGCACCGGCUAACUACGUG
rnacentral:rRNA from 1 species